rnacentral:siRNA from 1 species
ACUAUUAUAUCUCAGUUUUACCAU